rnacentral:tRNA from 1 species
UGGGGUGUCGCCAAGCGGUAAGGCCUCGGUUUUUGGUACCGAUAUUCAGGGGUUCGAAUCCCUUCACCCCAUCCA